rnacentral:rRNA from 1 species
AUUAGACGAAUCAUCUGGAAAGAUGAAUCAAAGAAGGUAAUAAUCCUGUAGUCGAAAAUGUUGUCUCUCUUGAGUGGAUCCUGAGUACGACGGAGCACGUGAAAUUCCGUCGGAAUCUGGGAGGACCAUCUCCUAAGGCUAAAUACUCUCUAGUGACCGAUAGUGAACCAGUACCGUGAGGGAAAGGUGAAAAGCACCCCGGAAGGGGAGUGAAAUAGAACCUGAAACCGUGUGCUUACAAGUAGUCAGAGCCCGUUAAUGGGUGAUGGCGUGCCUUUUGUAGAAUGAACCGGCGAGUUACGAUUUGAUGCAAGGUUAAGCAGUAAAUGUGGAGCCGUAGCGAAAGCGAGUCUGAAUAGGGCGUUUAGUAUUUGGUCGUAGACCCGAAACCAGGUGAUCUACCCUUGGUCAGGUUGAAGUUCAGGUAACACUGAAUGGAGGACCGAACCGACUUACGUUGAAAAGUGAGCGGAUGAACUGAGGGUAGCGGAGAAAUUCCAAUCGAACCUGGAGAUAGCUGGUUCUCUCCGAAAUAGCUUUAGGGCUAGCCUCAAGUGAUGAUUAUUGGAGGUAGAGCACUGUUUGGACGAGGGGCCCCUCUCGGGUUACCGAAUUCAGACAAACUCCGAAUGCCAAUUAAUUUAACUUGGGAGUCAGAACAUGGGUGAUAAGGUCCGUGUUCGAAAGGGAAACAGCCCAGACCACCAGCUAAGGUCCCAAAAUAUAUGUUAAGUGGAAAAGGAUGUGGCGUUGCCCAGACAACUAGGAUGUUGGCUUAGAAGCAGCCAUCAUUUAAAGAGUGCGUAAUAGCUCACUAGUCGAGUGACACUGCGCCGAAAAUGUACCGGGGCUAAACAUAUUACCGAAGCUGUGGAUUGUCCUUUGGACAAUGGUAGGAGAGCGUUC